AAAAAAAAAUAAAGAGUUCUCAUUGCUCUCCCUUCACUCCCAUGUCUGGCGAUAGGGUUUCCCGGUGUCCAUUGCGCCGCCGUUGUGGGCUAGUGGCCGGCGUUGCGCGAAUGGGAUUUUUCCGGCUCCGAGGAGGCCAACGGAGAAGAGUAACCUCCCUUUUCUACUCUUUCGUUUUAUUUUUUUAUUCCAAAAAAAUAUAAAAGAAAACAAAAGCUACAGAUAUUUAAGAGCAAAAAUGAAAUAAAAGAGGAAUCACCUUCUAAAGUUUUGGUUUUUGAUUGAUUUUUUGUAUUAGAUUCUCUUUGUUUUUUUGUGUUUCAAAACUGACUUAAGAAAAAAGAAUAAAAAAUAAAGGAUAAAAAAAAUAAGAAACGGAGAUAAAAAGACGAGAGAAUGAAGUUCAACCUUUUUAUUUUUUGAUUGCUUAAAUCGUGUCCUUUACAAUAUUUCGUGUUUGUGGCUAUAUAGCCGAAUACAAAAAUGCUUUAGGCUAUUCCUUGCUACUGUUUUGCUUCGUUUCUGCUUUUUGCUUUCUUUUUGUUUCUGUUUUUGUAGGCUUAGAGGGUCAAUGAGGGCGAAAACAUGCCAUUUUGGUGCGAGGAAACAGCCAUCGGGCGGAGGGUACGCUGACGGAGGCACGUGGGGUGCGGCGCAACCAAGGCUGCGGCGCUGGAGUGGAUGGGAACCUUAGGGUUUCCUGAAAAUUUCAAAUAUUUUGGGCCAAUCGGGCCUUGUGAUGUUGGGCUCAGGAUUUUGGGUUGUGUUUUGGGUCUUAAUUGGGCUGAUGGUUUAGGUUAGGUGUUGGGUCUUGUAAUUGAACUGUAAAUAUUUUGGGCCUGAGCAAAAUUUGGGUCCUACAGAUAAAAUUAUUAGAAAUUUUAUUUUGAGUCAUUAUGAUGCUAAACGAUGCAUUAAUUUAAUCCAGUGGGAUGCUAAGUCUUAGGAUUGGUUUGCACACAAUAUAUUUUAUUAACAAGUAUUUUCUUAUUAAAUUCGGAUUCCAAUUGAUCUAAAAUUAAUAUAAUGCUUUUCGAGUUUUAAA
rnacentral:lncRNA from 1 species